rnacentral:rRNA from 1 species
UACAGAGGUCUCAAGCGUUGUUCGGAUUCAUUGGGCGCAAAGGGUGCGUAGGUGGCGUGGUAAGUCGGAUGUGAAAUCCCGGGGCUCAACCCCGGAACUGCAUUCGAUACUGCCAUGCUAGAGUACUGGAGAGGAGAUUGGAAUUUACGGUGUAGCAGUGAAAUGCGUAGAUAUCGUAAGGAAGACCAGUGGCGAAGGCGGAUCUCUGGACAGUUACUGACACUGAGGCACGAAGGCCAGGGGAGCAAACGGG